UCCGAGCGCCGGCGGGUGGGAGCGGAGCGAGUCACGGAGCCGCGUUGGAGCGGCAAAAUCUGUCAGUCAUGGGAAAUUACAUGAAUGAUUCUGUGGAGGCUAAACCAAGAUUGCUGAACUCAUUUUCAUGCAUGGCUAACUGCAGAAUUGAACCUCGUGCUCCAGAAGUGAAAGGUUAAAAAGGGUAUAGGAAGAAGUUAGUAAGACCUUCAUUCAGAACAAACCAGAGGAGCCAGUCUUCAGACAGUCUGUAAGGACCUGUGGUCAUGCUCCUCAAAUGACUUUCUGGAUCAAUGAGUUUAUAAAGCACAAGGAGAGACUGGAAAAAAACUUGGAAGAGAUGCUGUAGAGUCCACUAACUAGAUAAAUCACAUAACCUGACCUGAAAAUGUUUGAAGGUUGGGAGGCAGUAUGUGCUUACUCUGUUCUGAUUUUUCCUGAGUGCCCACUCCCAUGGUUAAUGUGGGAGAGGGACCUAUGAUCUGAACCGACGCAGAAGUUCAUGACACCUCGUCCUUGCACACUAAAGUCAGAAUUAAAUAAAUG